UCACUGUCCCUAAGUGUGAGCAGCUUGGCUUUGGGGAAGAGAGACAAGUCCAAACGUCUGUGCUUUGCGGGAGACUUCAGGGGAAUUUGAUCAAGCGUUUCCUGGAACAAAGGGUCAACCCUCUGGUCUUCAGGUUCCCGCAGCCUCCCAGCUGCCUGCCCUUCUGCCUUCUGUUACACAGUGCCCCCUCCACGCCACACUCACACUCGCUCCCAGAUUCUCACAGCCACCCCUCUCCAGGACUCACUCCCUGGUGCUCCUGAGACCACACCCCACACAAACUAUUCUUGCUGAAGUCACAGGCUGCUGCAGCAUUUUUGUUCUACCUGAAUCUCUAGGGCCUCUGACACCUUCCGUGACCAUUCUCUCCAGGAGCUCUUCUCCCUCUCCGCUGUCCUCCUCUCAGGUCCCUCACACCCUCCCCCAGCCUCAGCCUCACCCCUCCUCUAGGGAGCACAGCCCUUUCUUAGCCUCACCCAUCCUAGGUCCCUGGUACCUGCCAGGUAUCUCUAGCCCAGAUCUUUCUCUUGCCCCAGACCCCAACUGCCUAGGGGCAGCCUCACAGUGGCUGCUAUAGCAAACUACCACGUACUUACCGCCUUAAGCGGCACAAGUUUAUCUUAUGGUUCUGGAGGUCAGAGGUCCAAAAUGUCUCUCCCUGGUCUACAAAUCAGGUGUCAGCAAGCUGGUUCCUCCCGGAAGACCUAGAAGAGAAUCCGUGUCUUGCCUUUUGCAUCUUCUAGAGGCUGCCUGCAUUCUUUAACUCAUGGCCCCUCCCUCCAUCUUCAGGCCCACAGAUGAGCAUCUUCCCAUCUCUCUGACUGAUUCUCCUGCCUCCCUCUUACAAAAACUCUAGUGACUACACUGGGCCACCUGGAUAACCCAGGAUCCUCUUCCCAUCUCAACAUCAAUUUAAACACAUCUGCAGAAUUUCUUUGCCAGGUAGGGGAACAUAUUCACAGAUCCCAGGGAUUAGCACAUGGGCACUGUCAGAGUCAUGCAAGCCACACCCCAAAUUCAGCCUCCCUGCAACCUGCGCCCCGUUCCGUGCCUGACACCACCAUCUAGUCAGUAGCCCAAGCCACAAACCCUCCUUCCUCUCCCCACUGUCACUCUUCCCUCAAUUAAAACUGGGCGCUAGGCCAGGUGCAGUGGCUCUCAUCUGUAAUCCCUGCACUUUGGGAGGCUGAGGUGGGAGGAUUACUUGAACCCAGGAGUUUGAGGCCAGCCUCGCCAACAUAGGGAAACCUCAUCUCUAAAAAAAAUAAAAAUAAAAAAAAUGUAGCUGGAUGUGGUUGUGUACACCUGUGCUCCCAGCUACUCGGGAGACUGAGGCAAGAGGAUUGCUUGAGCCCAGGAGGAUGAGGCUGCGGUGAGCCAUGAUCACACCACUGCAAUCCAGCCUGGGUAACAGAGCAAGACCCUGUCUCAAAAAAAAAUAAAAGUAAGCACCAGGUCCUAUACUUUGUAACUCACAAGUGUCUCUCCCAUCCACCUCUUCUGCUACCUGCCGCCACCCCCACUCCCAGUGGGGCCUCAGCCCUUUCCACUGGACAACCACAGUGAGUGACCUCGCAAUUCAUCUUCCGCCUCUGCCCCGCCUUCCACCCAUCCAGCCCAUCUCCCAUCAGCAGCCAGAAAUAAACUGAGUCAUAACACAGUCCCCUGACUCUUCUUAGAAGCCACGAACUCUGUCCAUAUUUUUUUGUUUUAUAUUUUUAUUCCCGUGAUAAUUAAUCUGAGUCAUCUUGCUGACUGCUUUCUAGCCACACAAAUCCUGUGUGAAUUGCAUUUGGAAUCAGACAGGCAAACAUGACGUGGGGUAGCAUGUGCUCAUGCCAGAGUGACCCGUCCCCCAGUGUCUGCUGAGAUAAAGGCAAGACUUCUCUUUUACAGGGAAAUUUGCAAUUGAAAGAUACUUCCAUCAAAGAAGCUCUUAGUUUCUUGAAUCAUUUACUAAGUUGAGACCCCGUGGCAAGAAUCAUGGAUGCCAACCCCAGUAAUGGUCACCAAGGAACAGAGGCCAAUUCAAUGCAUGAAUGGGGUCCUCAUGGAAAGCCAAAUGACAUAUGAUUUAAGUUUUUGAGGUGUGGCUCAAAUAGAAAAAGAAUAUCGUGGACCAUUUGAGUCACCCCCAGGCACAUGGCAAGUACAAGGCCUUCCAAACUCCCACGCCUCCUUGAUGACAGUCUGUAGACAUGAAGCUACAAUUUUGUUUCAGCAAAACAGCAUCAUACAUACUGUUUAAUGAUUAAACAGAAUGCACUUCUGUUUGGAAUGAAUUAAAAAUGCUGAGCCCGGCACAGUCGUUCACGCCUGUAAUCUCAGCACUUUGGGAGGCUGAGGUGGGAGAUCUCUUGAAGCCAAGAGUUCAAAAGCCUGGGCUGCAAAGCAAGACUCCAUCUCUAAAAUAUAAUAAUAAUAAUAAAUAAAUUAGGCCGGUGUGGUGGCUCAUGCCUGUAAUCUGAGCAUUUUGGGAGGCCAAGGCGUGCAGAUCACAUGAGGUCACUAGUUCAAGAACAGCCUGGCCAACAUGGUGAA
rnacentral:lncRNA from 10 species